GACGAACGCUGGCGGUGUGCUUCACACAUGCAAGUCGAACGAGUGACUGCUUUGUAGCAAUACAAAGUAGAAGCUAGUGGCGGACGGGUGAGUAACGCGUAGGAAUCUGCCUUUGAGUGGGGGAUAGCAGACCGAAAGGUCUAUUAAUACCGCAUACGUAUAUACUUCGACAGUUGUAUAUAUAAAAAGAGCAAUCUGCUCAUAGAUGAGCCNGCGUCCGAUUAGCUAGUUGGUAGUGUAAUAGACUACCAAGGCGACGAUCGGUAGGUGGUCUGAGAGGAUGAUCACCCACAAUGGAACUGAGACACGGUCCAUACUCCUACGGGAGGCAGCAGUGGGGAAUAUUGGACAAUGGGCGCAAGCCUGAUCCAGCGAUGCCGCGUGUGUGAAGAAGGCCUGCGGGUUGUAA
rnacentral:rRNA from 1 species